rnacentral:rRNA from 1 species
CAGUCGCCACGGUAAUACGUAGGGUGCAAGCGUUAAUCGGAAUUACUGGGCGUAAAGCGUGCGCAGGCGGUUAUAUAAGUCAGAUGUGAAAUCCCCGGGCUCAACCUGGGAACUGCAUUUGAGACUGUAUGGCUAGAGUGUGUCAGAGGGGGGUAGAAUUCCACGUGUAGCAGUGAAAUGCGCAGAUAUGUGGAGGAAUACCGAUGGCGAAGGCAGCCCCCUGGGAUAACACUGACGCUCAUGCACGAAAGCGUGGGGAGCAAACAGGAUUAGAUACCCCGGUAGUCCCUGUCCUUAUACA